rnacentral:RNase_P_RNA from 1 species
UGAGUAAGACAAAUGGUCGCUGCCGCAGAAACGAAAGGCUGCGGGAGAGGAAAGUCCGGGCUUCACAGGGCAGGGUGCCAGAUAACGUCUGGCGGAGGUGACUCCAGGGACAGUGCAACAGAAAUAUACCGCCGGCUUUGCCGGUAAGGGUGGAAGGGCAGUGUAAGAGACUACCGCCCGUCUGGUAACAGACGGGGCACAUGUAAACCCCACUUGAAGCAAGACCGAACAGAAAGCAUAAGGCGGCCCGUCUGCUUUCGGGUAGGUUGCUUGAACCAGGUGGUGACAUCUGGUCUAGAUAGAUGACCAUUCAACGACAUAACCCGGCUUAUCGUCUUGCUCAUAAC